rnacentral:rRNA from 1 species
UACGGGAGGGUGCAAGCGUUAUCCGGAUUCACUGGGUUUAAAGGGUGCGUAGGUGGAGUGGUAAGUCAGUGGUGAAAUCUCCAAGCUUAACUUGGAACUGCCGUUGAUACUAUCAUUCUUGAAUAUCGUGGAGGUAAGCGGAAUAUGUCAUGUAGCGGUGAAAUGCUUAGAUAUGACAUAGAACACCGAUUGCGAAGGCAGCUUGCUACACGAUCAUUGACACUGAGACACGAAAGCGUGGGGAUCAAACAGG